ACGUGUGAGUCCCCAAUCCUCACAGUCCAACUUCCGACUAUUUGGUUCUCCAACUGUGUUGUCCAAAUCUGUGAGGUGAGGCGCUCUCUAUUACCAAAUCGCCGCCGUUCUCGCUAUUGUCCGUCGCCUAGGACCAGUGCGUGAGGUGCUGCUGCUAUAGGUGGAUGUCCUUGCGACCUAGCUCCCGGUGAGCCGAGGAAAUUUUGAUGUUUUGCAUCGGAGUGUCCGUUGGUCUGGGAGGCUACUAUUUGGAGGAGAUUAAGGUGUUGGUGCGUAUUGUGGGUUGGACUCGUGAGGACAUGGUCCUAAAUUGGUUUUGCGUCCGUCGGAUGUUGAGCUGAUCUUUGGGAAACAGGAAGCCGCCAGAAAAGCGCUUGACUUGCUGCAACUUGCAAGGCCAAAAGGAUUGUCAAUUCGUCGGAUAUUGACGUUGCUCUAUCAGAAACGGCCGAAAAGGCACCUGAAUUGCUGCAAGGCCAAAAGCAUCGACGAAAAUUUAUCUGACCUCGAGGAUAAUCUCUGGUAAGCAGGAAGCCGACGCCGGGGAUAUGUGGAAACAUAUGUUGAUGUUCAUCUCUAGGAAGAAGGAAGUAGAAAUCCAGGAUAUGUGAAAAGGGUCUCCGCCUACGUAUAGAUGACCUGCUGUUUGUAAAAAAAAUCUGGGAUACGCAUAUGCAAGAUGCCUAUGUUGCUAACCACGUGAUCUUAUUGGACUCUUAUUUAAUUGGACUCUUAUAUUUCUAUCAUGAGGAGCGUGAGGAGUCCUGGAAGGCCGAGGAGUCGUGACAUGUUAGUCACGUUGUACAAUCUGUCAAUUCGCGUUUGUAAUCAAAGCUGUAAAAAUUGCAUU